AACUAACGCUGGCGGCGUGGCUUAGGCAUGCAAGUCGAACGGCAAAGGUCGCAAGACCCUGUAAGUGGCGAAAGGGUGAGUACUGCUCAGGCAAUCUGCCCCUGGGACGGGGAUAGCCGCGGGAAACUGCGGGUAAUACCGGAUGGGCUCACGACGGCCGAGGUCGACGUGAGUAAAGGGUGGGGAUCCGCAAGGACCUUCCGCCCGGGGAGGAGCUUGAGUCCUAUCAGGUAGUUGGCGGGGUAACGGCCCACCAAGCCUACGACGGGUACCCGGACUGAGAGGUUGGCCGGGCACACUGGCACUGAGACACUGGCCAGACUCCUACGGGAGGCUGCAGUCGAGAAUUUUCCGCAAUGGGCGCAAGCCUGACGGAGCGACGCCGCGUGGAGGAAGAAGGCCU
rnacentral:rRNA from 1 species